rnacentral:misc_RNA from 1 species
UCCGUUAUGGUUACUAAAUUAUCAAGCAAUUUUGUCGUUUUCGAGCAUUUUCGUAAUAUUUUUUCUAUGGGAAAGAGAAAUAGCAGCAUGCCGAAUAAGUGUUUUGUGUCCUGGUGUAAGUCUGGCAAGCGCAAAUCUCGUGAGAAGCGUCAUUUUUUCACGCCAUAUCCGAACCUGUUAGAUAAGUGGAGACAUUUAAUUCCUCGAAGAAGAGAUUUAGAAUUCUCCAAAAAGUCGAAAAUAUGUGACUUGUAUUUUGAUGAAAGAUUUAUACUUAAGAAUUAUGUGCAUAUAAUUGAGGGUAAGAGAGUCGAGAUGCCACAUGGAAAAUGGCAACUGACACGUGAUGCUUAUCCUACGAACUUUCCCAAUUGCCCGUCAUGUUUGCCUGUUAAAGUUCCUAAAUUACGUCAGUCUCCAAGGAAGAGAAAAACUACUCCCAACGUAAAUAACAAUUCAAAAGUUGUAAAGGUAUUAUCGACCCCGAGGAACAAGGACAACAGAAGCAACAGUCUGCAGCCAUCGACGUCUAGACAGUCAACUGAAAUGGAACUUAUUCUAGCUCAAAGGCACGUGAACAACAUUGUAUCUGAGAUAGUUCCAGAAAUCGAGCAAAACAAAGUUUUAGGCAUGGAUACUCCAGGGCAAAGAAAGCGGAGAAAAAGAAGUCUUGCCAGUACUACCCGAGAUCGCAACUAUGUUAGACGUAAUGGAACCAAAGUAGCCUAUUCUCAGAAAGAAAAGAAAAAUAAUAUAAAGUACAAAGCCACGCGAAUAAAAUACGUCGAAGAAGUUGUAGAUUCUUCUCGAGAUAUGCAAAUUCUUGACAAUGCAGAGGCUGUAGAACAGGUCAAACUUACCACAUUGGGAUCCGGAUGUGAAAUUGGAAGAAGCUGUCGAGAGACAGGACCAGUGGGAGGAGCCUCUUGGUACCGGAGAACAGGUGACAUGAAUGAAGAUGAAAUUGCCAUUAAAAAGAAACCAGAGUGGGACGUUGAUGCCAAAAUUGAUCAUUUGUCUCGUUUGCAAUUUGAAAUCGAUAGCUCAAGUAUUAAAGCCGAGCGCAAUAGUACCGCUAUGGAGAAUGAUCUGCCUUUGAAAAAUGGAGAAGAGACGAUAUAUAAAAAUAACAGUGCAUAUUUUCAAGACAACUACAUUUAUGCAGAUUUCAAGCAUGAAAUAAAAAAAGAAUUUCGUGAUGAACCCGAAUGUACGAAUGACACAUUUACUGUGAAUGGGAACGAGAAUAAAGAAAACGUACAAGAGGAAGAAAGAUAUCUGACUGUGAAAGAUUUACGAUGGAAUAAUAAUAAUCCUGAUAUUCUGCUGGAUCCAAAAUUAAAAUUACAAUGCAAAGUUAUUUGUGAAAAAGUGAAUUUCGAAAGUGGAAAAGCACCACCUUUAAAGUCACGGCAGAAAGAAAAUGAUGUAUCAAGUAUCAAGAACCACAAAGGUUGUAAUUGCUCUUAUUCAGUCAACAAUAAUAAAUUAUAUGAUUGUUCUGAUUGUACAGAAAUUACAAGGUUGUCUUCAUCAAAUAACGAAAUUGGAGGAAAUGAAGAAAUAAUUAAGAAUGUCCUUACCGAUAACCUCAACAAAGGGACUUAUAUGAAGAACUAUUUUAAUCGUGAUAACUGCAAGAAAAAUUAUAAAGGAAUUAGUAACUUAAUUCCAAAAUUUAUUAUUAAAUUGAAAUUAUGCAGAAAUCGAGUUUUGAAAAGGCAUUUAUUCAUUUCGUCGAGAAAGAAGCUGGAGUGUUAUAUUUGCAAGAAGACAUUUUCAUAUAGUAUACUAUACGGCAAUCAUCUGUUUGAACAUUCCAAUAAAAGAACUUACCCCUGUAAUGUCUGUAAAAAACAGUUUUUCUUCAAAUGUUAUUUUGAGGAACACAAAAAAUCACAUAUAGAAGGAACUCCGUUUUCUUGUUCAAAAUGCAAGAAGAGAUUUAAACUUUCAUCUGAAUUAGUAAAGCACAGGAAAUAUCAUUUCAAAGUUAAAUGUUGCUCGAAAGUCGGCCGCAACCUGUGCAAACGUUAUGUAAAGGAAGUUAAGUCGAGAAAACUGAAGUAUUCCAAAAAUAGACUAUUUCUGUGUGAGAUUUGUGGGAAAAUAUUUCAUUGUCAAAGUUAUUUUGGGACCCAUUUAAUGUAUCAUUCUGAUAAAAGGCCGUUUGAAUGCAAAUUCUGCAGAAAAAGUUUUAAGACAAAGGCUUGUUUGAAAGUACACAAAGAGUAUCAUUCCUAUAAAAUGCGUCAUUCAUGCAAACUCUGUGGAAAACAAUAUAAGACUAAAUAUAGCUUAAAACUACAUCAGGAUAGUCAUAGCAACAUAAGAGCUUUUCAAUGCAAAUUAUGCACCAAAUCAUUUAACUUAAAAUCAAUAUUAAUUAUGCAUCAGAAGGUUCAUUCAGAUGUGAGGUCUUUCUUGUGUGAAAUAUGUGGAAAAACAUUUAAGACCAAACAAAAUUUAAUACAACAUCAGAAGAGUCAUAGCAAAGAAAGGUCUUUUCCAUGCAAGUUGUGCACCAAAACAUUUAAACUGAGAUCCAUGUUGAUGGGACAUCAGAAUCUUCAUUUGGAUGUAAUGCCUUUCUCAUGUGAAAUUUGUGGAAAAGUUUUCAAAUCACUGCUGUUACUAAUUGAACACAAUGUGCGUCAUGCCAAUAGCAAACCUUUUGAAUGUGAAAUUUGUCUGAAGCAUUUUAAAGUGAAAUCAACUCUAAUAUCACACAUUAGAAUGCAUGCUACAAAAGCCUAAAGGUCCUGUGCGUGACAUAUGCAGAAAGAAUUUUAAGCAGAAAUCGAAGUUAAAAGAUGCAGAGAAGAACCCAUUUUAAGAAAAGUUUUCCAGUGAAGAAAUAGAAAGGAAGUAAAGUCAUGAGAAAAGUCAGCAGUGCAACCAACUCCUUGCUAGUAUUUCGUUUUUUCAAGUGACAUCCAAUUUGUUGGGCUAUUACUUAGUUUUAUUUUCUGCUAUAGAAAUCUGGAAGCCAAGGUCAAAAGACAUGGGUUUGAACAUUGGCUGGCUCGUGAACUUUCAGAGUGAUCUGGCUGGAUAGGUCACAUCCUGUACUUUGACAAGUAGGUACGUGCUCUGGGAGAAGUGUUUAAAGUGCUUUGGAAUUGUCAAAUUUCAUUAAAUUAUCCCUUCAUUAAAAGAAGAUCCAUUUUAUAUGAAGCUUUUUGAGAGAAACAUAUCAUCAUCAUCAUCAUCAUCAGGUUAUUCUGACUAAAGAAACAAAAUGUAAGAGAACUAAAUAUGAAACUGAGCUGUGAAUAACAAUAAUUAUUAUUAUUCAGUUUCAUAUCAGUUGUUCAUGUUUUCUAUUUAUGUAAGAAUUAAAAUUAUAUAUAAUAAAAUAAUA